UGAAUACGAGACGCUAAGGCGUCGAAGUAGUGUAUGUCAUACUUCCAAAAAGCUUGCACUGUCAUAAGUAAAAAAUGCCUGUACCAUAACCGACACAGGUGGGUAGGUAGAGUAUACUAAGGGGCGCGAGAUAACUCUCUCUAAGGAACUCGGCAAAAUAACUCCGUAACUUCGGGAGAAGGAGUACCUUAUUCUAUAAGGUUGCAAUAACAAGAUCCAAGCAACUGUUUAUCAAAAACACAGGUCUCCGCUAAGUCGUAAGACGAUGUAUGGGGGCUGACGCCUGCCCAGUGCCAGAAGGUUAAAGAAGUCGGUUAGCAUUAGCGAAGCUGGUAACUGAAGCCCUGGUGAACGGCGGCCGUAACAAUAACGGUCCUAAGGUAGCGAAAUUCCUUGUCGGGUAAGUUCCGACCCGCACGAAAGGCGUAAUGAUUUGGAUACUGUCUCGGAGAGGGGCUCGGUGAAAUAGACUUGUCUGUGAAGAUGCGGACUACCUGCACCAGGACAGAAAGACCCUAUGAAGCUCUACUGUAACUUGAAAUUGAAAUUGGACUUUAUUCGCGCAGUAUAGGUGGGAGGUGUUGAUUAUAAUCUUGCGGGAUUAUUGGAGCCAUCAGUGAGAUACCACUCUUGUAAUGUUAGAUUUCUAACUUUGAAUCAUUAUCUGGUCAAAGGACAGUUUCAGGCGGGCAGUUUGACUGGGGCGGUCGCCUCCCAAACGGUAACGGAGGCGUACAAAGGUUUCCUCUGAACGGGUAGAAAUCGUAUCUAGAGUGUAAAGGCAUAAGGAAGCUUGACUGUGAGACCUACAAGUCGAACAGGGACGAAAGUCGGUCUUAGUGAUCUGACGGUACUGAGUGGAAAGGCCGUCACUCAACGGAUAAAAGUUACUCUAGGAUAACAGGCUGAUCUCCCCCAAGAGUUCACAUCGACGGGGAGGUUUGGCACCUCGAUGUCGGCUCAUCGCAUCCUGGGGCGGUAGUACGUCCCAAGGGUUGGGCUGUUCGCCCAUGAAAGCGGUACGCGAGCUGGGUUCAGAACGUCGUGAGACAGUUCGGUCCAUAUCCGGUGUAGGCGUUAGAAUAUUGAGAGGAGCCUUCUUUAGUACGAGAGGACCGAGAAGGACAUACCUCUGGUGUACCAGUUAUCGUGCCAACGGUAAACGCUGGGUAGCUAUGUAUGGAGUGGAUAACCGCUGAAAGCAUCUAAGUGGGAAGCCCACCUCAAGAUAAG
rnacentral:rRNA from 1 species